CCAAAACAAAUUAAACUAAACUCAAGUGUUCUCCACAUUCAAUACAUCCACAUACACACCAUAUAGAACUCAGGGAUGAUUUAUACCUCCACAUGUAAAUAGAACUCAGGGAUCAUUUUUUCUUUCCACAAGCAGCAUUGACCAAAGUUGUUUUUGAUCAGUGGGUAGAGGGACAGGUGUUGAUCAGGGGGUGCAGAUUGAAGAAGCUAUGUUUCUGGAAAAUUAAUUUCAUUGUAAUUAUAAGAGUAGGAAGGUGAUGGAGACAUUCAACCAAUUGUGGCAGUUUCCCAAUCAGCUCAAUCCUUGGAAGGUGAUGCCAUGCGAGGAAAGCUUUUAACGGCUCUGCAACUGAAAGGUUCCUUGGGAGAUUCAGUUUUGCGGAACAAUUUUUUAUUAUCAAGAAUCCGAUCAAGCAAACUUCAACACUGCAGGAUUUUGAGUUUUUUUUUUGGGCACACUUUCUCUCUAUAGGCUUUAUAAAAAUUUCUCUCCUGAAUCUGAUCAUUUGGGUGGCUUAGAAUUCCCUGUUGAGAGAAAAUAGAUUAUGGUUUAACAUUUGGAAGAACCUUUUGUCUUCUUUGUUUUAUAGUUGUGCCUUUGCUAAUUUAUUCUCAUCAUUGUU